GACGGAGGGUGCUAGCGUUGUUCGGAAUUACUGGGCGUAAAGGGCGCGUAGGCGGCCUGGUCAGUCGGAUGUGAAAGCCCGGGGCUCAACCCCGGAACGGCAUCCGAGACGGCCAGGCUGGAGACCGGGAGAGGAGAGUGGAAUAGCCAGUGUAAAGGUGAAAUUCGUAGAUAUUGGCUGGAACACCGGUGGCGAAAGCGGCUCUCUGGCCCGGUUCUGACGCUGAGGCGCGAAAGCGUGGGGAGCAAACAGG
rnacentral:rRNA from 1 species